GACGAACGCUGGCGGCGUGCUUAACACAUGCAAGUCGAACGGAAAGGCCCUGCUUUUGUGGGGUGCUCGAGUGGCGAACGGGUGAGUAACACGUGAGUAACCUGCCCUUGACUUUGGGAUAACUUCAGGAAACUGGGGCUAAUACCGGAUAGGAGCUCCUGCUGCAUGGUGGGGGUUGGAAAGUUUCGGCGGUUGGGGAUGGACUCGCGGCUUAUCAGCUUGUUGGUGGGGUAGUGGCUUACCAAGGCUUUGACGGGUAGCCGGCCUGUGAGGGUGACCGGCAACAUUGGGACUGAGAGACGGCGCAGACGCCUACGGGAGGCAGCAGUGGGGAAUAUUGCACAAUGGGGGGAAGCGUGAUGCAGCAACGCCGCGAGCGGGAUGACGGCCUUCGGGUUGUAAACCGCUUUCGAAUGUGACGAAGAGUGAGUGACGGUAAUGGGUAAAGAAGCACCGGCUAACUACGUG
rnacentral:rRNA from 1 species